CAGAGGGUGCGAGCGUUAAUCGGAAUUACUGGGCGUAAAGCGUGCGUAGACGGUUAUUUAAGUCGGGUGUGACGAGCCCCGGGCUCAACCUGGGAAUUGCAUUCGAGACUGAAUAGCUAGGGUACGGUAGAGGGAAGUUGGAAUUUCCGGUGUAGCGGUGAAAUGCGUAGAUAUCGGAAGGAACAUCAGUGGCGAAAGCGACUUCCUGGACCAGUACCGACGUUCAGGCACGAAAGCGUGGGGAGCAAACAGGAUUAGAUACCCUGGUAGUCCACGCCAUAAACGAUGAGGACUAGACGUUGGAGGGGUAAGCCUUUCAGUGUCGUAGCUAACGCGCUAAGUCCUCCGCCUGGGGAGUACGGCCGCAAGGUUG
rnacentral:rRNA from 1 species